rnacentral:rRNA from 1 species
AGUCACUGACAUUAGAUACCCGGGUAGUCCAGGGUGUAAACGCUGCAGACUUGGUGUUGGGAACCCUUCGGGGGUGCUCAGUGCCGGAGAGAAGUUGUUAAGUCUGCUACUUGGGAGUACGUCCGCAAGGAUGAAACUUAAAGGAAUUGGCGGGGGAGCACCGCAACGGGAGGAGCGUGCGGUUUAAUUGGAUUCAACGCCGAAAAACUCACCAGCAGCGACUGUUACAUGAAAGUCAGGUUGAUGACCUUACUAGAUUUUCAG